rnacentral:lncRNA from 13 species
CGACAUUAGUACUGCCAUCUGUGAGUAGACUAAGGAAACAACUGUGUUUUCGUCUGUUUUCGUCCAGUGCUCCAGUUUCUGUGUGACGUGUGACGUGUGUUGUGUACAAAAAAUUUACCUUAAAAAAUAAUUUGUAAAAAAUGCCGCUUUGUAUUGCAAUCGGUUGUUGCAAUAAAAGCUACCGAAAAAGCAAAGAGCAAAUUAAUAUUGAAAAAAAUAUUGCAAUUACAUUUCACCGUUGUUAUAGGCUUAUUGACGGAAGCUCCUCGCGUGAACCGCGUGAACGUUGUUUUUACGCACGGACUUCGGUGGAUUGAAACGUACCUUGCAUGCUACUAUUUAUUUUAUAUACAAUUUAGUUGAUAUGUGUGUUUCAUUAGAUUUCCACAA